rnacentral:rRNA from 1 species
GACGAACGCUGGCGGCAGGCCUAACACAUGCAAGUCGAACGAAGUCUUCGGACUUAGUGGCGGACGGGUGAGUAACACGUGGGAACGUGCCUUUAGGUUCGGAAUAACUCAGGGAAACUUGUGCUAAUACCGAAUGUGCCCCUCGGGGGAAAGAUUUAUCGCCUUUAGAGCGGCCCGGGUCUGAUUAGCUAGUUGGUGAGGUAAAGGCUCACCAAGGCGCCGAUCAGUAACGGGUCUGAGAGGAUGAUCAGCCACAUUGGGACUGAGACACGGACCAAACUCCUACGGGAGGCAGCAGUGGGGAAUCUUGCGCAAUGGGCGAAAGCCUGACGCAGCCAUGCCGCGUGAAUGAUGAAGGUCUUAGGAUUGUAAAAUUCUUUCACCGGGGACGAUAAUGACGGUACCCGGAGAAGAAGCCCCGGCUAACUUCGUGCCAGCCGCCGCGGUAAUAC